rnacentral:rRNA from 1 species
AUUGAACGCUGGCGGCAGGCUUAACACAUGCAAGUCGAGCGGAGAGAGGUAGCUUGCUACUGAUCUUAGCGGCGGACGGGUGAGUAAUGCUUAGGAAUCUGCCUAUUAGUGGGGGACAACAUUUCGAAAGGAAUGCUAAUACCGCAUACGUCCUACGGGAGAAAGCAGGGGAUCUUCGGACCUUGCGCUAAUAGAUGAGCCUAAGUCGGAUUAGCUAGUUGGUGGGGUAAAGGCCUACCAAGGCGACGAUCUGUAGCGGGUCUGAGAGGAUGAUCCGCCAAACUGGGACUGAGACACGGCCCAGACGCCUACGGGAGGCAGCAGUGGGGAAUAUUGGACAAUGGGCGCAAGCCUGAUCCAGCCAUGCCGCGUGUGUGAAGAAGGCCUUAUGGUUGUAAAGCACUUUAAGCGAGGAGGAGGCUACUUUAGUUAAUACCUAGAGAUAGUGGACGUUACUCGCAGAAUAAGCACCGGCUAACUCUGUG